CAGGGGAUUGCAGUGGCAAAGCUAGGCUAGGUCUUGGAGGCUGGUGUAAGGCGAUGUGGGUGAAGGCAGGAGGCUGAUGGAAAGACUGGGGGGAAGAAAAGCCGAAAUGGAUUCACGGUGCCUUGGAUGAAGGACGAGAGGGGAACUGCAAGCUCCUUCAACUGGUUCUGUCCGGUGAGAAGUGAUCAAGCUUGGGCUGACAAGAGGCUCAGGGAGCCCUCACGUUCUUUCGCUUUUUUACCUGCCAAUCAAACUGCUACAAGACAACACCCUGAUCUGGCAUGGACAUCGCGGGUCCAAGCCUGUAGCCCCAAAUCGGAUAAUCUCUGCAGCUGAUAACAAGCAAAAGAGAAGCCAGGCAACAGCCAUAUUAAAGAAGAAAACAAUCAACUCUGAGUCAUUGCAGUCACCUGGAGUCACGGAAAUGACCAUGAUUGCCUGAACUUUCAUGACUUCUGUGGAUAACUGUGGUUGCAGAAAAGAGAAAACCUGGACCGUGAGGGACAUUUCACUCCCUGGGCUUUGGUACAUGGUACAUGUGUGGUUGGAUGUGUGUUGCCAGAAAACAGCCUGCCAUGUCUGAGGCUAUGCUCCCAGACUAGCAGCCUGGGUUACAGGGGAAGAGCUGAAGUUGGGUUGGGGAAGUUUAAUAUACUAUACUUUUAAAAUUUUUUUACUUUUGGCUAAUAUUUAUCUAUUUAUUUAUUUUUAUUUUUUGUAGAGACAGGGUUUUGCCAUGUUGCCCUGGCUGGUCUCAAACUACUGAGCUUGAGAAUCUGCUUGUCUUGGCCUCCCAAAGAGCUAGGAUUACAGGCAUGAGCCAUCGAGCCUGGCUCCUUUUAUUCUUUUCAUGACACUACCUCUUCCUAGGAGAGG
rnacentral:lncRNA from 10 species